UUUAAAUUCAAAUUAGUGGAUCACAUUUCCGGUAAGCUUUGUUAAAUAGGAAUUGCUCAAUAAAAUCUUGUAAAUUUGAAAUAAUAAUGUAAAACGUCCAAAGUUUGUGAAAUUUUAUAUUUUUUUUCCUCGAAGGGGAGUAUUUUCAUAAAUUUACAAGGGUACAGAGUUGUUUGAAUAUUCAGAAUUAAAUAGUUAACUGAUUUAUUUAAAUAACUUCUCAAACAAUUAAUUCUUAAUCAUUUGAACGAAGAACACACUAUUUAUUAGGGGCCGUCCAUAAAUUACGUAACGCAAGAGGGGGGAGGGGGGGUCAUGGGAAGAGCGUUACGAAUUGUUAUGUAGGGGGAGGGGGGUAUAACAAAUUUGUUACGUAACGCAUUUCAUAAACGCGAUUAAAAAUCGGAUUGAACUCAUGUCAUCCAGAAGGUUUCAGUAGGUCCUCUCAAAGCUCUAAAAAAGAUCAGAUUUUUCUGCUCAUCGCUCAUUCUGAUCUUUUUUGCUCGGCUGUGCGCAUGAGAUUUCGCUCAAAAUCAGAUUUUCUUGCUCAACAAAAAAAUCGAGUUUUGGGUUGAUUUUCUCUCUCAUAAUCCUGCUCAUUCUGCUCCACAUCAGCACAUCAGCUGUUUGUUUACUUAAAUUUUUCAUUUAAAAAUUAAGCAAAGUUUUCUAAAACAUAUUCUUUAUCAUUAUGGGUCCCAAGACCAAGGUUAAGAGUACCAGUGUCGAAAAAGUUGCAAAUCCUGUAAUUUGUCGUAAAAAACGUAGCGUUGCAGAGAUAGACGGCAAAGACUUUUCGCUGGACACCACAUAUAAAAAUUGAAAUGGCACAUUAUGUGGUCGACAAUUAUACCGCGUUUAAGCUCGACCGGCAGUACGAACUAGAUUUGAAAAGGUUCGAGAUGGACAAAGAGCUGCGACUAAAAGAACUGGAAUGCGCAAACAAAAAUCUAGAGAAAGGACGAGAAAAUUCAGCGAAGCUUAGCGAAGCCGAAAACAAAAUACUGGAACUCAAAAUUCAAUUGGAAAUUCUUAAAUCUAAGUCCUGAAUAUGAGAUUUAUAAAACUGUUUAUUGCUGCUGCAUAAAAUGAAUUAUUUGAGAUAAUGCCGUUCGUUUUAAUUCUCCUGCAAUAUUUUCACAGACUGGCACAGUUUCAUCAUUGUUGUCCUCGUUAUCAAUAAAAACUUCAUCUCCCUCCUGCACCCAUGGAUUGCGUGGUAUCAUUAUAUUAUGUUAAGACCACAUAAUGAUAAAAAUUCUAAUAUCUCUUGACGUUCAGUUAUUUUCGGCAUUUUGUGUAAUUAUCAAACUGAAUUUAGAACCAUGAAAAUGAUAAACAAACAAUUGAACUUCCCACAAAUACAGAUCACGAUUCUCAAGAAUUAUGAUCGAUUAAAAAGUGGUACGUUCAAGGUUUGAGCAGAAAAAUCUGAUUUUUUAUUUUUCUGCUCAUUGCUCAUUUCGCUCAUUUUUUGAGCCUUGAGAGCUCCUAGUGUACGCAUGUAAAUACGUUUUUCAUUAUGGUGCUCACAUUAAAAGAAGAGCAAAAUUCUUGCCUACUUGUAAACCAUCAUUCCUCCACAGUGACCUCGGAGGGCGAUGGUGUGACGUAAGUUUCACGAUUAAUUGAGCCUUACCUUUACGAUGAGAAUUUGAUCGGAAUUUGCCGAUCACCUGAGCCCCAACGAGGUCACUUAGGCGCCAUGAUGGUUGUCAAGAAUUGUACUCAUCUAUUAAUGGUCGUACGAUAGUUUUCCGGGUGCAACUUGACAAAAGGUUCCAUUGUGAGUCUUGGUAAACGUUGAGAGACCUGUCAGAUUUACAAUUUCCAUUUCUUGUCGAAUAUGAUUUCGGUUGUUCUUGAACAAGAAAUUCACAAAAUUCUAAUUUAUCUAGCAAUUUAAAAGAAAUAGAAGCAAUAAAAGCGACAUUUGUCUACACAACCUGGAA